rnacentral:rRNA from 1 species
UACGUAGGGUGCAAGCGUUAAUCGGAAUUACUGGGCGUAAAGCGUGCGCAGGCGGUUAUGUAAGACAGAUGUGAAAUGCCCGGGCUUAACCUGGGAACUGCAUUUGUGACUGCAUGGCUAGAGUUUGGCAGAGGGGGGGUAGAAUUCCACGUGUAGCAGUGAAAUGCGUAGAUAUGUGGAGGAACACCGAUGGCGAAGGCAGCCCCCUGGGUCAAGACUGACGCUCAUGCACGAAAGCGUGGGGGAGCAAAC